rnacentral:lncRNA from 1 species
UUUCCACAGCCUGGAUGGAAGGAGAGAAGGGCUCCAGCAAACUCAGGAGGAUGCCGACCCCAUGAGAGCCUUCCUCAGAAGGAUACAGCCACUCAGCCCUUUAGGUCGAUUCAGAAGAAGGUGCCAUGUGCUCUUUGCAUGUGUUUCACAGUGUUUUGAAGAAGAGGUGGAAAAAGGAGAUACAAAAGCAAAGAAGUAAAAAAUGAAUUUCCUGGAAAACAAUUCUCCGCAAGAUGAGAAGAUGGCACCUUCUUUCCAUCUUCAGAGAUGGGUUGACCUCAUAAAUGCUUUUUGUACUUCUGAACACUAGGCUCAUUCUUAUCUGUCUAGUCCUAUCCAUCAGCCUUCAAAAGCAUUCAAGUUCUCUCAAAAAUAUCUAUACCCAAAAGUUAUGAAAAUGAGCAUAUCGGUGCAAAUGGAGCACAGAAUCAUCUUGGCACCAAAUCCUUUCCUUCCUGCUGCUGAGAUAUCCACUGAAUCAGGCAAAUAGAGUUCUGUGCUAAACCCCUGGGAGAGUUCCCUAGGACUGAAGUUCAAUUUUGUAAAACUUAAAAUGUCUUUGAAACAGAUGACUAUCUUCCAGAAGUUUCUAAACCAUAUGUUCCAAUGAUAUUAAUAAUAAGUAUCAUUCUAUUCUAAGUCUUAUAUUCUUCAUAAUCUUAUAAGAGAGGUAUGAUUAUUUCCAACUUGCGAAUGAAGAAACCAAAGCCUACAGAGACUAAAUAACUUGCCCAGAGUAACACAGCUGGUAAAUUGCCAAAUAUGAACCUGGUUGGUCUGACUCUACAACCAAUAUUAGGAAUGAGCGCACUGUACUUCUCAACUAUCCCUUCCUGGGACUCAGUUUUUAUCUGCUAGCCAAUUGAAAUGGUUCUAAUUAUCCUAAUCCACUGGUUGGGAUGUCACUAUAAAUGCUGCACUGGUUUUGUUUAAAAUCCCAUUACACGAGUUUCAUAAAGCAAACCACUAUUGAAAAGUCAGACUUACUCUAAGGCCACUAUUAAGUUUCUGAGGCCAUACUCAUUGUGUGUUGAGAUCACUGCAUCCAUAAAUAAGCUAGAAAGAGUAAAUGACUGAUUGCUCCUCUGUGAACUCUUCAACAAUUUUCUCAUAUCUUAAAAUGAUCUCUCCCCUCCAAAUCCAUAGUGAAUCAUUAGGUGGUAUUUGAUUCCAUAACAAUAGGAAAUGCACUGGUUCCAUGAACGUAAUCCCUGGAUGUCAUGAUCGAAUAUGCGUUUUGUUAGUUUGGCUGGUACUUCACGUGGGUUCUCAUCAAUAAGCCUAUUUUACCCUGUCAGGAAGCAUGAGAUCUAUGGCAGCCUUUCUUCUUUUAAUUUUAUUUUUUAAUUGAAGCAUGGUUGAUUUUACAAUACUGUGUUAGUGUCAGGGAUACAGUAAAGUGAUUAAGACAUAUAUAUGGUAUAUAUGUGUGUGUAUAUAUUCAUAUGUAUACAUAUAUAUGCUUACUUUAGUAGGGAUACUUUUUUCAGAUGCUUUUCCAUUUAUAGGUUAUUACACAAUAUUGACUACAGUUCCUUGUGCAAUACAGUAGGUCUGUGUUGUUUAUUUUAUAUGCAGUAGUAUAUAUAUGUCAAUCUCAAAUUCCCAAUUUAUCCCCCAACCCCGCUUUCCCCUUUGGUAACCAUAACUUUGUUUUCUAUGUCUGUGAGUCUACUUCUGUUUUGAUAAGUUCUCUUGUGUCAUUUUUUUUUUUUUAGAUUUCACACUUAAGUGAUAUCAGACGAUAUUUGUCUUUCUCAGUCUGACUUACCUCACAUAGUAUGAUAAUCUCUAGGUCUACCAUGUUUCUGCAAAUGGCAUAAUAUCAUCCUUUUUCAUCACUGAGUAAUAUUUCAUUGUGUAUAUGUAUAUAUAUAUAUACACAUUGCAUAUAUAUAUAUGUACACAUAUACACAAUGAAAAAUAUAUAUAUAUAUAUCACAUCUUUAUCCAUUCAUAUGUCAAUAGACAUUCAGGUUGCUUCCAUAAUGGUAACGUUUCUUGAAAUAUGCAUUCACUAACUUCAUGGAUUUCCUCCUCCCAAAAGAAAGCUCCACAACACUAAUAGGGCUGGUAUCCUAGGAAAGGUAGUGGAAGCAGUAGCAGGAGUAGUAGUACUAGUAAUGGUAGUAGUAACAUUUCACUGAGUACCAGGCACAGUGCUGUGAUUCUGCUUCACCACAUCCCUAUAUGAUGACGUAAGUACUAGGAGUUUCCCAUUUUAAAGAUGAGGAAGUCGAGGUAGAGAACAAGGAGGGUAUCCUGGCCAUCGGAAAGUCGAGAUUUCAUAACCACUUUGUAUUGGGCAGGCAGGCAGUCUCUCUACUAUGGCAAAUAAUCCUGAGUCUCAGCAGCUUAAUCUAAUAAAGGUUUAUUCCACUUGUAUCACAGUCUGAUCAGUCAGUAGCGCCUUCCACAAGGUGAUUCAGAGACAUUGCCCCCUUCCUCCUACAGAUUCUACCAUCUUCUGGUCCCUGGAGUUCUCCUUUGACCACCUCCAGCUGGUGGAGAAUGAGAAGGCCUAGAAUGUGGUCUCCAGUGGGAUCAGGAGGCAAAGGAGCCCCUUGGUGAACAUUUACUAGGCUGAUAGAAAGUUCACAGAAGCCAGGGGGCAAUCAACGCUGCGUCUUCUAAAGGGACUUGCUCAACAACUAAAUGAAGGAAGCAGCAUCCGGUGAUGGCCAGUGGCAUGAGAACAUUCUCUGACUCAACUGAAAUGUGGCCCGAAGUCUCAGAACUAGCUCAGACUUGGCAAAGUACCAGAAGCAAAAGACACACAUGUUGAAUGACUCCCUCCAGCUUGGGAGACACAGCUUUCUCCUGACACCCCAACGUGCCUCUCCAGACAACAUGCAUCCUCCCAGCCGGAACCUCAAGAAUACUCUGGAAGAGGAGGGCAGAGAGGCUGUAAAAACGCCUCGUCACACCGUGAGUCAGCAGUGGCUCUUCCACCGUCGGAAAGGGGCACCACUGGGCAAACGUGGACCAGGGCGCUCUGGAGAGGAGGACGAGGAGGAAGGGGCGGCGGAGCGAGAGGCUCAAGUAGCAGCCUGCUCUUGGCAGGGGCUGUUGCUCAUUCUCUUUGGCUGGCUCUGACUACCUGUCUGAAAGCGCUGCAAUGCAGGAAGGAAAUUUUUCAGGAGAUUAAACUAUUAUUGUUU